ensembl:snRNA U6 U6 spliceosomal RNA
UUGCUUUGACAGCACAUAUACUAAAAUUGGAAAGAUACAGACAAGAUUAGUAUGGCCCUGGCACAAAGAUGACAUGCAAAUUUAUGAAGCAUUCCAUAUUUUU